CUCUGAAAGAGUAACCUGUGAGCAGUAAUGUUUUACCUUAGGCCUAACUCUAACCCUAAACUAAGUCUGGAUGAACGAUAGGAAUAUCUAAGGUUGCUCCAGGAGCAAAAUUAAGGAUCCGGAUUGCUGGGGAUGGAGAUGAUUGAUAGGGGAUGUAAAAGGGUGCCAUCUGGAGGGGGCGUGGUCUACACACCUGACACUUGUUGGAUGCAGAGUUAAAUACGGCUAAGACUGUUCGUGUGGGAGCGUUGUUUUGAACGAUCAUCUCCAGCAUGAUGUUUGAUGGCCUGUGUUAUGCUGAGUGUCCUGCCCGGCCCUAAAGCAUUUCCUUAUUUAUGUUAUACUUAUGUUUGUUCUUUUUGCGUUAAAAUAAAUAUUUUGCAAGAAAUUGGUGCGUCUGGUCUCCUACUUGUUGCAGCCUGAGAGCCGGUUGUAACAUGUGCCUUCAUUGUUGUUGUUUCUGGAUAGAAUGUGCGAUUACGUUCAAUUCAAGCUGGUAAUGGAUACGAGCAGGUUCCUCAUGUUAGCAUGGCAGUUUGGGCUGUAGUUUUACAUUCUGGAGUGCUAAUUUAGGCAAAUUUCCAAAGCCUUGUCAUUUUAUUUUAGUCCAGGUGUUCAGUUACACUCUUAACUGAGUGAUGUUUUUCCACAUUAAGUAUGAUUGCUGGACAUCUCUA